AAUGGGGAGGGAGCAGCGGGAGCGAGCUUUAUUAGGCGGUUUCUGUUGUUCAGGUGGGCGGGGACGCGCACGUAGUUUCGACUCAUCAGGCGACGCAGCAAACACCUGAAGUUUCAUGAUGUCAGCAGCAGAACUGAACUCCACUCUGACAUGGAGGAGGUACAUUUUGAAAACCAGGAAAAUCAACAAACAGCAACACAAGGUGUGGCUCUGAUACUGUUUGGUGAAGAGUUAAAGAUGCUUCUGCAGAGAAGAAUGCAAAGAACAAGCUCCUGGUUUAAGGAAACAGCAUGGAUUUCACACCAGUGUUGAGUGUUAUAGGCCAGGGUAUCCACUAUGUGAGGGUACACAGGCCUUUGGAAGAUCACAACCUCACCUCACCUCUUAUAUCCAACAUUGAGAUGAAGUGAAUAUUAGAAAAGCUGCAGUUUGUGUGUUUCUGCUGUAUUUGUGAGUGAAAGCAGACCAUUCUCAGGUUUACAUUGUACAAAAUGAGAUAAUAGAUACUGUAUUUACGGUGUUUGGGCCCUCAUUGAUUUGGUUUUAUUGUAUUAUUAUUAUUAUUAGUGGUAAAUCUCUAUGAGGUUACAUAUAAUCUUUAAGUUAUGGUGUUGCUGUUAAGUAUCAGUGUUAUAAAUCCAGAGGACUAACUUGAAUUAGAUCUUUUGAAUCUGUUGAAAGGAGCUGUGCGAACAUCAGUGUGUUCACUGAAAGAAUAUGGAUUAGUUUAUCAUUUUUAUUAUAAAUAUGAUUUAGGCAAGUCAGCCAUUUGUAAUAUUGCUUUUGAGUAAAAGUAUGACAUUUGUUAAUAGUACAAUCAUUGACUUAUAUCUCCAAGUGACUGAAUGAAUAGGUCUAGGCGUAACUGAGGCUACAAUUCCACAUGUCCUUUAAAGAUAGAGGGAGAAAAGAGAGAAUCAGGGCAGGUCAGCUGGUUCAGCCUCGCCGCGCUGGGACCUGAGGAGUCACCGACCUAUGACACCAUCUCAUAGCUCA